rnacentral:lncRNA from 12 species
CCUUAAGUGAAAUACAUGGUCAAGAUCUGAAGGCUGGAUUCAAAUUUCACCUCUGCUCCUUCCCAGCUGUGGCACUUUGGAAGAAGUACUUAACCACUGAAUGAAAUGCAGCUAGAGAGGCACAUGCCCCAUAGGAAGUUCACAAAGAUUAGAAGGUCUCCUGCACCUUGUGCUUGCAGCACCAGUAAAACUGCACCGGUUUUGGAGGCCUUGAAGCACCACGCACCCAGACACGCAGGUGGAAUAAAAAUCCUGUCAGUGCACGUGAAUCUCCUAUUGCGAUCCCCGAAGUUCUGCUGAGCUCAAGACAGAUGGAAACCCUGCAGCAUCCUCACAGAAUGGCUCUCAGAUAUGACCUGCAUACAAAGCAGAGAGCAGAACACUCCAGGCAGAGAGCCAGCAGCCUGUUGACAUCCAUAAAAUACAAGGCUAGCUCUGGCUUUGACCCUCUCAGGUCCAGUAAAACAUGGUAAAGAUGCAGAGAAGGAAUGGGCUAAUCUCCUGGAAUUAUUCCAGAAAAUUUGAAUAUAUGACCAAUAUUUGAAUACAUGACCAUUUGUCAGCCACUCAGUAUUACCAGAUAAUUUGCUGUAAUCUUUUCAAUCUCAAAAAGCAGGAGACUACACGUUUCAACAGUGAUUUUUCUUCUUUCUGCCAUUUCCACAUGACAUAUUUAGUGAGAUAAAAAUGAGGAUAAUGCUUUCUGAUCCUCUCUUUUCUAGUUCCUAU